UCUACAGAGGUGACUAGACUUCAGAGUGUUUUGGAGGAUGGAUUUGACUUUUUGAGGAGAGGGAUCAGGGACUCCAGUGAGGCUGUCUCUACUCAGUUUGGUACCCAGAUGCAGUCUGUGUUGAGAGCUUUGGAUUUUCUAGACACCAUCAGACUUUUUCUUCUAGCACAGUCCAUAUCUUCCCCGGCUCCAGGACCUUCUCUCCCCUCUACUCGUGC
rnacentral:lncRNA from 1 species